GGCAAAGUGCUUUUGUAUGGAUGCUUAAUCUAGUUGCACUAUGUUGAGUGUUCAAUGCCCUAACUUAUGGGAUUUGGAUUAGAGAAUUUCUUGUUCAGUUGAUUUGGAUGAUUAUUUGUUCGAGAAAAGUUGUGGUGCUUUACAUUGGUUUCCGCACAGAAAACUUGGGAUUGUGACAUGCUGAUUAUGCGUCUUUGCCUGUUCAUUGCCAGAUCAAAUUCCUUACGUUGAGGCAGGAACUUACGUGGCUUAUAACAAUGAAAAAGGUGGGGUUAUA
rnacentral:lncRNA from 1 species